rnacentral:rRNA from 1 species
ACGGUCCUAAGGUAGCGAAAUUCCUUGUCGGGUAAGUUCCGACCCGCACGAAAGGCGUAAUGAUUUGAGCGCUGUCUCGACAAUGCAUCCGGUGAAAUUGAAGUACCAGUGAAGAUGCUGGUUACCUGCGCCAGGACGGAAAGACCCCAUGGAGCUUUACUCCAGUCUGGUACUGGGACUCGGUAUUGCAUGUACAGGAUAGGUGGGAGGCUAGGAGAUGGUAACGCCAGUUGCCAUGGAGCCGCUGUUGGGAUACCACCCUUGCAGUAUUGGGUUUCUAACCAGCCGCCGUGACCCGGCGGUGGGACAAUGCCAGACGGGGAGUUUGACUGGGGCGGUCGCCUCCGAAAGGGUAUCGGAGGCGCCCAAAGGUUCCCUCAGAAUGGACGGAAACCAUUCGAAGAGUGCAAAGGCAGAAGGGAGCUUGACUGCGACACCGACGGGUGGAGCAGGUACGAAAGUAGGACUUAGUGAUCCGGUGGUAUGAAAGUGGGAUUGCCAUCGCUCAACGGAUAAAAGCUACCCUGGGGAUAACAGGCUUAUCACUCCCAAGAGUUCACAUCGACGGAGUGGUUUGGCACCUCGAUGUCGGCUCAUCGCAUCCUGGGGCUGUAGUAGGUCCCAAGGGUUGGGCUGUUCGCCCAUUAAAGCGGUACGCGAGCUGGGUUCAGAACGUCGUGAGACAGUUCGGUCCCUAUCCGGCGUGGGCGUAGGAUAUCUGAGAGGAGCUGUCCUUAGUACGAGAGGACCGGGAUGGACGGGCCGCUGGUGCAUCGGUUAGACUGCCAAGUCUACGGCCGAGUAGCCAAGCCCGGAAGGGAUAAACGCUGAAGGCAUCUAAGCGUGAAGCCCCCCUUAAGAUGAGAUAUCCCAUUCGAAAGAAGUAAACCCCCUUGAAGACGACGAGGUAGAUAGGGCAGAGGUGGAAGUGCAGCAAUGCAUGGAGCUGACUGUUACUAAUCGGGUGAGGGCUUGACCAA